CUAGAUUUCCAUUAUUUCAGGUGCUAUCCGGAAUUCAAUUUCUAUUGUGUUUGUUGUAUUAAAGUCAACAAAAUUAGCAUUUCAGAUAAUUAUAUUGGAGUUUGUAUCCGCACAUAUUGACUUGCAUUGGCAGAUAUUUCGUUUUAACUUCUCAACGAAUUCCUUUUGUUUAUUUCAAAAAAUGUCCGAAUUUGACUACCAUUUGCAUGUGACAAAUAUUUCAUUUUUUUCCUGAUUAUUAUUCGCAUUACGUGUUUUCAGCUUUGCGGGGGUGAAUAUAAUAGAUAUAUUCAUUCUAAAAUGGCGUGCUAUAAUUAAAAAUGUAGUGGAUCAAACUUUUGUAUUUGCUUGUCUAACCUAAGACUAAGGGAGAGAGGUGCUUCUCCGAUGCAAUGACAAAAUUCCAUGUAUCGUCACAUUCUUAAUAGUUUAUCUUCCGAAAUAUUUUAAAAUAACUCUGCUCAAGAUAGAAUACAUUAACUGCAGCCAAUUAUUUGUUUGGAAGUCUGAAAUUAUAUAACUAAAAGUAUUUACUAAUUAAUGCACAAUAAUUUCUGGAUAUAUGUUUUUAGAAAGUGAAUUUUCGAGUAAUUGCUGUCAGUUCAUAACCAAUAACAGCAAGCCUCCAUUGGUAAUUUUCAACAAUAUAAAUGGAUCCAUAAUUAAAAUACAUCAUUAUUUUUAUCCAUUUAUGAAUUAAAAUGUUUAUAAAUUCUUUCAAGUGGAAGCUAAUUCAGCAAUUUUUAUUUAUUUAUUUAUUUAUUAUUAUUUUUUAUAAUUAA
rnacentral:lncRNA from 1 species